rnacentral:rRNA from 1 species
AUUGAACGCUGGCGGCAUGCCUUACACAUGCAAGUCGAACGGCAGCACGGGAGCAAUCCUGGUGGCGAGUGGCGAACGGGUGAGUAAAGCAUCGGAACGUGCCCAGUCGUGGGGGAUAACGUAGCGAAAGCUACGCUAAUACCGCAUCCGAUCUGUGGAUGAAAGCGGGGGACCGUAAGGCCUCGCGCGAUUGGAGCGGCCGAUGUCAGAUUAGGUAGUUGGUGAGGUAAAGGCUCACCAAGCCGACGAUCUGUAGCUGGUCUGAGAGGACGACCAGCCACACUGGGACUGAGACACGGCCCAGACUCCUACGGGAGGCAGCAGUGGGGAAUUUUGGACAAUGAGCGCAAGCCUGAUCCAGCAAUGCCGCGUGCAGGAUGAAGGCCUUCGGGUUGUAAACUGCUUUUGUACGGAGCGAAACGGCUUCCACUAAUACUGGGGGCUAAUGACGGUACCGUAAGAAUAAGCACCGGCUAACUACGUGCCAGCCGCCGCCGUAAGAC